UUUUUUUUUUAUAGAAUGGAUAGCAACAUUUAUACUGGAACAAUUAUUUAUCUCAUUAUUUGGCUCCUUUCUUGUUUUAUAUUUUGUUUAUUUUUCGCAAGAGAUGGAAAACUUUCAAAAAUUGAUAUGAUUAAGUUAAUUAUUACAUUAGUCACCCUGGCUGUAUUUUGCUUAUGGAUAUUCUGGUUGUGUGUAUACGUGUCUCAACUAAACCCUAUAGUUUUCCCGAAACGGAAGGAAGUAGAACAUAAAUAAAGAAUAAAUAUUACAUAUGAUGAAGAAAAAAAAAUUCUUUUUAUUAUUCUAAAUUUUA